rnacentral:tRNA from 1 species
GAGGGUAUAGCUCAGUGGUAGAGCGCAUGCUUAGCAUCACGAAGUCCUGGGUUCAAUCCCCAGUACCUCCA